rnacentral:rRNA from 1 species
UUGAACGCUGGCGGCAGGCCUAACACAUGCAAGUCGAGCGGAUGAAGGGAGCUUGCUCCUGGAUUCAGCGGCGGACGGGUGAGUAAUGCCUAGGAAUCUGCCUGGUAGUGGGGGAUAACGUCCGGAAACGGGCGCUAAUACCGCAUACGUCCUGAGGGAGAAAGUGGGGGAUCUUCGGACCUCACGCUAUCAGAUGAGCCUAGGUCGGAUUAGCUAGUUGGUGGGGUAAAGGCCUACCAAGGCGACGAUCCGUAACUGGUCUGAGAGGAUGAUCAGUCACACUGGAACUGAGACACGGUCCAGACUCCUACGGGAGGCAGCAGUGGGGAAUAUUGGACAAUGGGCGAAAGCCUGAUCCAGCCAUGCCGCGUGUGUGAAGAAGGUCUUCGGAUUGUAAAGCACUUUAAGUUGGGAGGAAGGGCAGUAAGUUAAUACCUUGCUGUUUUGACGUUACCAACAGAUUAAGCACCGGCUAACUUCGUG